CUGCUGGAGCAGCUCCACUUCACUUCACCUAGAAGAGGAUGAGAAGAAAAUACUUUGAAGCAAACAGAGGGCAACAGAUCCUUCCAUUCUGAUAUGCCGCAUCAAGAACCAUUACAUGAUAGCUGCAGAAGGAAAGAUCAUGCAGAGCAGGUAUGAGAAACCAACAGGCAUGCAAGAAUUUGGGGUGCCAGAACUGUGAGUUAGAAAUUUGGGUGUGGAAAACACAGUCGUACGCAGACGUGGGCAGGACUUUGCUACAAAUGCAUGCCCUUACUGUGAAGGAGGAACACCCACCUCUCCUGCAAUCAAAUGAGUCACCUGGCCUUCAGCACACUCCUUCCAGGAAUCUGGCCCACUCAGAAACCCAGCCACACAAAGCACUGACAAGAACCAGUGCUGA